GAUGAACGCUGGCGGCGUGCUUAACACAUGCAAGUCGAACGAUGAUCCCCGCUUGCGGGGGAUUAGUGGCGAACGGGUGAGUAACACGUGAGUAACCUGCCCUUAACUCUGGGAUAAGCCUGGGAAACCGGGUCUAAUACCGGAUAUGACCUCCUGCCGCAUGGUGGGGGGUGAAAGUCUUUUUGUGGUUUUGGAUGGACUCGCGGCCUAUCAGCUUGUUGGUGAGGUAAUGGCUCACCAAGGCGACGACGGGUAGCCGGCCUGAGAGGGUGACCGGCCACACUGGGACUGAGACACGGCCCAGACUCCUACGGGAGGCAGCAGUGGGGAAUAUUGCACAAUGGGCGCAAGCCUGAUGCAGCGACGCCGCGUGAGGAU
rnacentral:rRNA from 1 species